rnacentral:rRNA from 1 species
AGUGAACGCUGGCGGUAGGCCUAACACAUGCAAGUCGAACGGCAGCACAGUAAGAGCUUGCUCUGACGGGGGGCGGGUGGCGGAAGGGUGAGGAGUACAUCGGGAUCUACAUUUUCGUGUAGGUUAAGGUAGGUGAACUUACUCUAAGACCGCAUACGACGUACGGGGGAAGGCAGUGGAUCUUCGGGCCGUGCGGGGAUGGAUGAGCGGAUGUCGGAUUAGCUGGUUGGGGGGGUAAAGGCCCACCAAGGCGAGGAUACGUGGCUGGUCUGAGAGGAUGAUCAGCGGCACUGGAGCUGAGACACGGUCCAGAGUCCUACGGGAGGCCGCAGUGGGGAACAUUGGGCAGUGGGCGCAAGCAUGAUCCAGCCAUACCGCGUGGGUGAAGACGGCCUUCGGGUUGUAAUGCCCUUUUGUUGGGAAAGAAAAGCAGCAGGUUAAUACGCCGCUGUUCUGACGGUAACCAAAGAAUAAGCACCGGCUAACUUCGUG